UGAGGAAUAUUGCACAAUGGGGGGAACCCUGAUGCAGCAACGCCGCGUGAGCGAUGAAGGCCUUCGGGUCGUAAAGCUAUUUUCUGUGGGAUGAGACAAGGACAGUACCACAGGAAUAAGUCUCGGCUAACUACGUGCCAGCAGCCGCGGUAAAACGUAGGAGGCGAGCGUUAUCCGGAUUCACUGGGCGUAAAGGGCAAGUAGGCGGUAGGCAAAGUUGGGCGUGACAAAUCUCGGCUUAACUGAGAGGGGUCGUUCAAAACUAGUCUACUGGAGGGCAGGAGAGGAAGGCGGAAUUCCGAGUGUAGCGGUGGAAUGCUCAGAUAUUCGGAAGAACACCAGUGGCGAAGGCGGCCUUCUAGCCUGCACCUGACGCUGAGAGGCGAAAGCUAGGGGAGCGAACGG
rnacentral:rRNA from 1 species